UACGUAGGGUGCAAGCGUUAAUCGGAAUUACUGGGCGUAAAGCGUGCGCAGGCGGUUUUGUAAGACGGAUGUGAAAUCCCCGGGCUUAACCUGGGAACUGCAUUCGUGACUGCAAGGCUAGAGUAUGGCAGAGGGGGGUAGAAUUCCACGUGUAGCAGUGAAAUGCGUAGAGAUGUGGAGGAAUACCGAUGGCGAAGGCAGCCCCCUGGGCCAAUACUGACGCUCAUGCACGAAAGCGUGGGGAGCAAACAGGAUUAGAUACCCUGGUAGUCCACGCCCUAAACGAUGUCAACUAGUUGUUGGGGAUUCAUUUCCUUAGUAACGUAGCUAACGCGUGAAGUUGACCGCCUGGGGAGUACGGUCGCAAGAUUAAA
rnacentral:rRNA from 1 species